rnacentral:lncRNA from 1 species
AACCCAGUCCAAAUCUGGGAGAUUUAAAUCCCAAGUCAAGUUGUAUUUUGCCUCUCGCCACCCACUUCCUCAAGCUUUUACGGCUCUGGUAGAGGAGGAUUCUGAACCUUCUUAUUACAUACAAGCAUCCCGCUCUCCCUCGUGGUGGCAUCCCAUGGUUGAUGAAUUUUACGCCUACUUAAACAAUAGACGUGGUCCCUUGUUCCUCCUGUACCUCAUGCCAACAUCAUUGCUUGUAAAUGGUAUUCAAGUUAAAGUGCAAUUCCGAUGGUUCGAUUGAGCACCAUUGCCAAAGGUUUCCAUCAGCAGGCUGGUGUUGAUUUUUCCAAGACUUUUAGUCCCGUAGUAAAACCGACGACGAUUCAUACUGUUCUUAGUCUUGCUAUAUCUUUUGGGUGGCCUCUUCACCAACUUGAUGUGAAGAAUGCUUUUCUUCAUGGUUCGCUAAUAAAGGAAGUUUACAUGACUCAACUGCCUAGUUUUGUCAAUCUGAAACGUCCUCAUUAUGUUUGUAAGCUUCAAAAGGAAAUAUAUGGACUUAAGCAAGCCUCACGUGCUUGGUUUCAACGUCUUAGCUCCUUCUUGAUUCAAUCUGGGUUUCUCCAAAGUCGAUUCAACAAUUCAAUGUUCACAUUUCAUCAGGGUUCUGUAAUUCUUGUGCUUCUUCUCUACAUUAAUGAUAUUGUGCUCAUGGGUAAUUCUCCUAGUUUGAGUAAAUAUUUUAUAGGGACGUUGGAUCUUGGGUUUGAACUUAAAGACUUGGGUAAGUUACAUUACUUCUUAGGUAUUGAAGUAUCAUAUUUGUCUACUGGUGUUUGUUUAACCUAAAACAAAUACACUUUGGAGAUUUUGAAGCGGAGCAAUCUCUUUGAAUGUAAACCAUGCUCCACUCCUAUGACUGCCAAAUCAUAGCUCUCUAUUCAUUUAGGUUCUCCACUCCCUUAUGCUUCCCUUUAUCGUCAACUCGUAAGAGCCCUUCAAUACCUAACACUCACUUGGCCGGAUAUUUCGUAUGUAGUGCAAUCUGUCUCUCAGUUCAUGGGUUCGCCUACUACUGAGCAUAUGGACAUUGUGAAACAUAUAUUAUGAUACCUCAAGGGCACUAUGGGCAAGGGUUUAUGCUUCAAUCCUUCCCCUUUCACCAUGUCAUCUUGUUGCAUAUUCAGAUGCCGAUUGGGUGAGGUGUUCGGACACUCGUCGGUCUACCACUGGGUUUUGCAUAUUUUUGGGAGGUAACUGUUAAAAAUUUUUAUGAUCACAUUCAGCGUAACAACAUGUAAAAUGGAAUUUGAACUAACCUCCAACCAUGAUCGUCCAACAACAGGUUUCUAGCAACACAACAAAAUCAAAAGCUCAUGUAACUCUAAUUUAAGUGAUCUUCUAGCCUAUUGCCACUCGAGUACCUUUCUCAGAUGGAAUGCAAGGCUUUAUAUAGGCUAGGCUAAUGACCCUUUAAUCUCAUGUCACAUCCCAGCCCGGGGUUCACCACAUCCCGGGCCCGCUUCACCACCGUAGCAUGAUAUUGUUCGCUUUGAGCCCCGACUAUGCCCUCACGGUUUUGUUUCUGGGAACUCACACGAGAACUUCCCAAUGGGUCACCCAUCUUGGGAUUGCUCUCGCACGAACUCGUUUAACUUCGGAGUUCUAAUGGAACCCGAAGCCAGUGAGCUUCCAAAAGGCCUCAUGCUAGGUAGGGAAGGGAAUAUAUAUAUAAGGAUCAUUCCCCUGGGCAAUGUGGGAUCUUACAAUCCACCCCCUUAAGGGGCCCGACGACCUCGUCGGCACACCACGACGAAGGUUAGGCUCUGAUACAAAAUUGUCACAUCCCAGGCUCAACUCUGCCAUAACACGAUAUUGUCCGCUUUGGGCCCUAACUACACCCUCAUAGUUUUUUUUCUGGGAACUCACACGAGAACUUCCCAGUGGGUCACCCAUCUUUGGAUUGUUCUCGCACGAACUCGCUUACCUUCGGAGUUCCGAUGGAACCCAAAGCCAAUGAGCUCCUAAAAGGCCUUAUGCUAGGUAGGGAUUGGAAUAUACAUAUAAGGAUCACUCCCCUAGGUGAUGUGGGAUCUUACAAUAAUCUGACACGCCCCUACCCUGAUAUUCCCCGAAUACCAAGAUAGACACGUGCUAGCCGACACCCGAGGGUGACAAAAGCCAUUAAUUGAUACAAAAGCUAAGAAUAAGAAGUAAAUAAGGGUUAUGAAUUUAAAUACAAUGAAUUAAUAAUUUAGAGCAUACAACUAACUAGAGUUCUAAAAGAAUUAAUGUAAAAUUGAAUAAAUAAGAGGAUGUGGGUCCUACACCUAGAGGACUCGAAUAUGCCAAUGCGAAAGCGUUGACGUCAGGAUCGUAUGCCUCGAUUCUAAAUCCUGAAAGGGGGCGCCAAAACAAGGGUGAGUAGACCAAGUUCAUAUAUAUAUACAUAAUACGAAAAUAGUUAUGAACAUACUAACCCCUAGAUUUAUAUAUAAUGAAAACUACUAGCAUAAUAAGUGAUAGGUUUUCUGAACUCUAGCAUCCAUAAAACAUCUCAACAGGUAUAACGCGGAAAAACAUCAUAUAAAUCAUCGCGUGUAUCGUCUCGUAAGCGCAGUGUACUACUAGUAAGAUCACCGAAAUAAAUAUAACUCCUAGACCUAUGCCAGCACCAUGGUCUAUACGCCCGUAGCCAGAGAUUACCAACUUCCAGCCCAAUGCCUGCUCCAUGUCCCUCAGCCCGUAGCUAGGGAUUAUUUCUCCCGGCCUAUCUGCCAACACCAGAUCCUCGCCCCGGCUUGCAUAGUGUCCACUAGGUACGCACAAAUAGUUACGCCUCUCAUAAAUAACCACUUCAUAUUAUAAAGUCAUCCAUUGUCUACUAUAAAGAGGGGCUUUGAAAACAUGUUCUAGUAUCAUAUUGCCAUCCAUCAGAUAGUCUACCAGUUCAUGGUUUUUAUAGAAAAUACGAUAUAUUAAAAUAUAGCUUAAUAUAGGCCAACAAUUAAUUCCUCACCAAAAACGAGACGAUAAACAACAUAUUCAAUAAACAUGCUUAACAUAAAAUCAAAUCAUAAACUCGUAAGCCAUGCUAUUCAUUUAUGCAAUUGAACUAUAAAAACAUGUAAUUUUAGAAGGGGUCCACUCAUUGUACACCGAUGCUACAAAGCUGUACCAACAGGAAUAACAGAAUCAUCGUUAAUAUUUGCUUCUAUUCACAUAAAAGAGUACCUUUAGUCACACUCUAUUCAAACGAUUGAAUUUGGAAAAACGGACUUCAAAAACAGGUCCAGGACGUCAAAAUUAGCCUAGGUUAGGUCCCGGACGAAACCACUAAAAGUCAACGUUGACCGUUGACUGGUCAAAGUCAAAGUCAACACUGACCGUUGACCGAGUCAACAGGUCAAAGGGUCAAACUAGGCUUAGAUUUGGGUUGGGCCAAUUGGGCCCUAAAGGUUUUGGGUUUAAAGGGUUUUCGGGUUUUAAGUGAAAAAAGCUUUGAUUCCUGGUUGAAAUGCCCGAAGGCUUUAAGCCUAAAGGUUUAUGGGUUUCAGGAGAAUGGGCCAAAGACCCUGAUUUAAGAUGGCCUAAGGGCCCUUUACACUAAAACAAAUAAAUAAAAAGAAAUGGGUUUGGGGUUGGGCUCGGCAGAAAAGGCUCAAAGGCCUUUUAGGUUUCUGGGUUGCUUCACAACGGGCUUAAGGCCUGAGGUCUGAGGAAAUUGCCUGAAAGGCCUGGUUUCACCGGUGAAGAACACUGGAGCUUCUAAAGCUUCGGUCGACUGAAAACAGAGGUUUUAGACCUCGAUCUAGGUACCAAAUUGAAGCUUGAGACGAGAGGAGCAUAAUGGUACCUUUGGUUCACCGCAUAACAGCCGGAGGUGAUCGGAAUAGCCCUCGACACCCACAGACUCGCCGGAUGUGCCUUCCCCCACACCGAUCUCGUUCCCAAAACCUUAAAAAUAACGAGAUAAACUCAAUAAUCACAUCCAAGCAACAAUCUAAAACGGAAGGAAGGAAACCCAAGGCUUACCUAACCGAAAAUAAGGAAAGGACUCGCCUAAGGCCCUUCCUGGGUUUGUCGACCUCGCAGAGACGAGAGGAAGAGAGGGAGGACAAGGUUUAGAUGAUGGUGGUGUCCUAGAGCAGGUGGAGUGGGUGUGUGUGUGGUCACGGUGCAAGAGAACAAGAGAGGGAUGAGGGGGUUUCGAGAGGCAGAAGGAAAGAGAGAGAGAAGGAAAUAGGGGUCAAGGGGUGGGGGACCGAAAAGAGAAAAGGGAUGUGAGUUAGGGUGCUGCCACGUGGCAGUUUGGGGUAAAACAACAUAUAAUAAAAAUAAUUGGGGGGUGGUUGUAACAUCUCACGUGAAAACAAACUGACUCCAUUAAUCCCUACCAUUAAGGGAUUCACUGAGUCAAAAUCUCUCUCCUUAUCUGUCAACUAGAGUCAUGCUCUUAAUGGAAUGUAAUCAACUAGAGUCAUGCUUGGAGUGGAUUGUUUGACUAAUUCAUAUCUUAACUAAUUACCAAUAUCAGUAACUAAAUAUUAAUGACUAAUAUGUGGGCCACCUUAAGUGAAAAUAUUUGAACGUUGCUAACAUUCUCCCACUUGGUCCACGUAUUAACAUUAAGAAUGAUAUAGACCUAAAUAGAUAGAUAGCUUGAUCGAAACUUCCCACACAAAUAAUGGCAAGAAACAUAACCCAAAUAAAACAUCUCAAACAUGAAUCAUGGCGGUCAAGACUCAAAAUCAAGUCAUUCUCAUCCAUGUAUAACAAUAUUUGAAACUCUCUGUUUGAGUCCUUUAUGAACAACUUUAACUUGUUAUUCUCGGUCUUUCUUUAUCAAUUACAUUGAAUUGAAAAACUUUAUUGUGCACAAAAAUAAAACGCUUUAUUGAAUUCAAAAUACUUAAAUACAAAGCUCAACAAUUAAUUACAAAGAUGAUUCAAUGAUUCCCAUAUUACCCACAUGACUCUUAUACAAAUUUGCCGGCAAACCUUUAGUCAUGGGGUCUGCUAUCAUUUGUUGAGUGCUUAUAUGUUCAAUAGAAAUUUCACCAUUUCUACAUGUCUUCUGACAACCAAAUACUUGAUGUCGAUAUGCUUAUUGUGGCUUCCACUUUUAUUGUUCUUUGUGAAACAAAUUGCGGCCAUAUUAUCACAGUAAAUCUUCAAAGGCCUUGCAAUACUAUCGACGAUCUUUAAACGUGUGAUAAAAUUCCUUAACCGAUUCACAUGCGCAGAAGCUUCAAAGACAACGAUGUAUUCUGCUUCUAUGGUAGACGAAGCAACUAAAGUUUUCUUGGUGCUCCUCCAAGACACAGCUCCUCUAGCAAGGAGAUAUAUGUAUCCUGAAGUAGACAUUCUUGAGUCUACACAACUAGUGAAGUCCGAGUCUGAAUAACCAACUACUUCCAAAAAGUUGGAGUGUUUGUAUGUAAGCCUAUAUUCCUUAGUUCCUUGUAAAUAUCUCAUGACUUUCUUAGUAGCCUUCCAAUGCCCCAAGCCUGGAUUACUUUGGUAUCUACCCAACAUUCCAACUGCAAAUCCUAUAUCAGGUCUGGUACACACUUGUGCAUACAUUAGAUUGCCAACAGCUGAAGCAUAGGGUAUAUUCCUCAUUUGUUCUCGCUCCAAGUCAUUCUGUGGACACUGAUUAAGACUGAACUUGUCUCCUUUGACAAUGGGUGCAAUACUAGGCGAACAAUCUUUCAUCUUGAAUCUUUCCAAAACCUUUUCAACGUAGGACUUUUGAGAUAGGCUUAAUGUUCGUAGAGUUCUAUCUCUAUGAAUCUCUAUGGCAAUGACAUAAGAGGCUUCACCCAUAUCCUUUAUAUCAAAAUUUUGUGAAAGAAAUUUUUUCAUCUGAUGCAUUAAACCCAAGUCACUGCUUGCAAGUAAAAUAUCAUCCACAUACAAAACUAAAACUAUAAAUUUACUCCCACUGAUUUUAAGGCACACACAUUCAUCGACAAACCAUAAGAGGUAAUUACAUUGUCAAACUUUAAAUACCAUUGACGGGUGGCCUGUUUUAGUCCGUAUAUGGAUUUUCUUAAUUUGCAAACUAAAUGACUUUUCUUUUCGUCAAAUAAACCUUCUGGCUGUUUCAUGUAUACCUCUUCUUCAAGAUCUCCAUUCAGGAAUGUCAUUUUCACAUCCAUUUGAUAUAACUCUGAAUCAAAAUGAGCUACUAAAGCCAUCACUAUUCUAAAUUAAUCCUUCUUUGAAACCGAAGAGAAGGUCUCAUGGUAAUCAAUGCCUUCCAUUUGAGUGAAACCUUUAGCUACAAGUCUCACCUUAUACCAUUCGAUACUACCUGAUGCAUUUCUUUUGGUCUUCUAGACCCAUUUGCAUCCAAUAGUUGAAUGCCCAUUAGGUAGUUCAACAACCUCCCAGAUUUGAUUUUUAGCCAUAGAUUUCAUUUCUUCUUGCAUGGCAUUAUACCAAAGAUUAGAAUUUGGUCCAUUCAUGGGUUGGGAAAACAAGCAGGGAUCAUUUAGUGGUCCAACAUCAUAGUCAGACUCUUGUAGGAAUACAACAUAAUCACUAGAAAUGGCAGGCUUCUUUAUUCUUGUAGAUUUCCUUAUAACUACUCCAUGAUCUUCAAUUUGUUCAUUUUGAGGAGUAAGUUCUUCGUGAGCUUGUUCUUCAUGGAGUGGUUCCACUUGAACGGGUUGUUUUUCAGGAAUAUCAAUUGAAUGAUUCUCUUGAAAAACAACCACUAUUCCUUCUUUCGAAGAAGACUCAUUAGCCUCAUUAAUUUUCUCAAUUUCUAUAUUACGAGGAAAUUCACUCCCACUAAGCUCAUGAUCUUCAAGAAAUUUAGCAUUUCUAGCUUCAACAAUUCUAGGUGUGUGGGAAGGACAAAAGAAUUUGAAUCCCUUUGAAUUGGGUGGAUAGCCUAUGAAAAAACCACUUAUUGUCCUUGAAUCAAGUUUCUUUAAUUGUGGAUUAUAAACUCUCACUUUAACUGGACAACCCCAUACGUGUAAGUGUCUUAAGCUAGGUUUUCAUCCAUUCCAAAUUUCAAAUGGUGUUUUAGGAACGGCCUUAGAUGGAACCCUAUUUAAAACAUACACAUGGGAAAACAUACACAUGGGUCUUUAAGGCUUCACUCCACAUGGAUAAAGGGAGACUUGAAUUGCUAAUCAUGCUCCUUACCAUGUCCAUAAGUGUACGGUUCCUUCUUUCGGCCACACCAUUUUGUUGUGGUGUGCCAAGCAUUGUAUAUUGUGCAAUACUACCCUCGUAUUCAAGGAACUUAGCAAAUGGACCUGGCAUUUGUCCCUUUUCUAUGUACCUUCCAUAAAAUUCUCCACCCCUAUCAGACUAUACGAUUUUAAUUUUCAUCUCUUUUUGUUUCUCUGCCUCCACUUUAUAUGUUUUAAAAGCACUUAGUGCUUCAGCCUUAUCAUUUAAAAGGUAAAGAUACAUAAAACGAGAAUGAUCAUCUAUAAAUGAGAUGAAAUAUCUUUGACCAUUUAGACAUGGGGUAGGAAAACGUCCACAAAGAUCAGUAUGUAUGAUCUCAAGCAACUCCAAACUCCUUUUGGCACCUUUAGAGGACUUGUUGGUUUGCUUUCCCUUCAUGCAAGCUCUACAAGUCCCAUAAUCAGUAAAAUCUAAGGACAUCAAGACUCCAUCAUUUACUAAUCUCUUCAUUCUCUCCAUGGAGAUAUGACCUAAUCUUUUAUGUCAAAGCUUUAGGAGUUUUCAAUAAUAAUACAUCGUUUAGUACCAACAUUGGCAGGCAUUGUUGAAAGAUUACACUCAUGCAUGGGGUCUAAAUUCAUUUUAAAUAAACCAUCUGAUAAAACGCCAUCACCAAUAUUCAAACCAUUCUUAAAUAAACUUAUUAUUGGAUUGUCAAAGCAAACCUUAAAAUUACAAAGUACCAACUUUGAAACUAAAUUAAAUUUCUAGAAAAAGACGGAACAUAAAAGACAUUUUCCAAAUCUAAAUUAAAACCAAAUGCUAAUUUUAUUCUAAAAGUCCCCACUGCUUCAACACUGGAGCACAUCCGAUUUCCUGAGUAGAUGUGUUGCUCAUUGCCCCUCAGCUUCCUAUGGUUUAGGAACCCCUGCAUGACAUUAGUAAUGUGAAUUGUAGCACCAGAGUCAAUCCACCAUGUAUUACUAGGAGCCUCAACAAAAUAAGAUUCAUGACACACAUAAGCAAAUAGAGUACCUUUCUUUUCCAGCCAUUUCUACUUGGCGCAUUCCUUCUUCUUGUGUCCUUUCUUGUUAUAGAACAAGCAUGCAUCCUUGUUGGCAAAACGCUUCAUCGGUUUCUUUCCUUUCACCUUAGGAAAACGUUUGCCCUUCUUGGCACCUUCAUGCUCGUUAAUCACCAGAUGAGCAGUUUCCAAUUUCUCAAGUUUCAAUCUCUCUUCCUUUUGAACACACAUGGUCAAAAGUUCAUUGGAAGACCACUUUUCCUUAUGUGUUAUAGGAAAUCUUGAAUGGUCCAUACUCAAGAGGGAGAGAAUUGAGAAUGAAAUUGACCAAGAAUGACUCAUAAAUCUCUAUCUCUAAGGACUUAAGUUGAGAUGCAAUGUCCUUCAUUUCCAUAAUUUGCUCACGCACACUCUUGGAAUUGUCGUGCUUCAUGCUUAAAAGUUUAUGCAUCAGGGUGCUAGCAAGUGCCUUAUCAAAUUUCACAAAUUGUUCUUCAAUGGCUUUCAUGAAAUCUGACACCUUAUCACAUUCUAGGAUUGAACCCCGAAUGCUGUUGCUCACACUGGAUUUGAUGAGCAUCAGACUUAAGCUAAUGUUUUAAGGUAAUCAAGACAUCAAAACCGAAAAUCCAUACCUGUGGGAAUAGGACAACUAACACUUAUAUGUCUAGAUUUCCAUUUUGUUUUUCACUAAUGUUAAAUAAUUACUUCGUGUGGGUAGAGUAGUUAUUUAGAAUACUAAUUUGUAGAUGCCUCAUUCCUUAUUUCAUGUUUUAAAAACUGAACUCCUGAAGUGAUUAAAUCACACACGUUAUAGACUUAAGAUGCUGCGGCUAAUCUUAAAUCAACAUGAAGCUAUUAUAUAUGUAUCAACUUACAGAGUUCAAAUGAAAAGAAACUCAUAACAUACAUGGAUAUGGUAUCCACUUGCAGUUUUCAUAUAAUAAUGAAAUGAUGAGACUCGUAAUUUUGAAUAGAUCAAACAAGUUUGAAUCUUUAAGUACGAUCAAAUAAUAUCACUUCGUGCCUUAGAAAACUAAAUUGUGAACAAUAUGUACUGAAGGUGGCUCUGAUACCACAAAUUUUUUAUGAUCACAUUCAGCCCAGCAACAUGUAAAAUAGAAUUCGAACUAACCUCUAGCCAUGAUCGUCCAACAACAGGUUUCCAGCGACACAGCAAGAUCGAAAGCUCCUAUAACUCUAGUUUAAGUGAUCUUCUAGCCUAUUGCCACUCGAGUACCUUUCUCAGAUGGAAUGCAAGGCUUUAUAUAGGCUAGGCUAGGGACCCUAUAAUCUCACGUGAAAACAAACUGACUCCACUAAUCCCUACCAUCAAGGGAUUCGCUGAGUCAAAAUCUCUCCCCUUAUCUGUCAACUAGAGUCAUGCUCUUAGUGGAAUGUAAUCAACUAGAGUCAAGAGUCAUACUUGGAGUGGGUUGUUUGACUAAUUCAUAUCUUAACUGAUUACCAAUAUCAGUAACUAAAUAUUAAUGACUAAUAUGUGGGCCACCUUAAGUGAAAAUAUUUGAACGUCGCGUU